rnacentral:lncRNA from 1 species
UGCAAAUCAAUGUUUUCCAGAUGCUCUCAAGCUGGGCCAGUGGCCAACUGCAGAACGGAGAGUGGCCGAGCAGGGAAGGUCAUAGAAGGCACAGGAUGGGGAAGGACACUGGAGACCAGGUUCCUGUAGCUGGAGAAGGAAAGAGAUGCCAUGCUAGUCUGAAUCUACUGGGACAGCUCUGUAUCUGAGGCCUGGGUGCAAGGCAACUUGGCUGCUGAAUUAGGGAAGAGAUAAAAGAAGAAUAAGAAUGGUCUGUCUUAUUUUUUUAAGUUGUAGGCGUGUGGGAGGAUUACUCUUCCUGGCCCUGUUUAAGUGAGGUCUGGCCAAGUGAUUUGUCUUCACAAAUGAAAGAAAAGUAAAAAGAACAUGUCACUUCCAGGCAGAAUGUCUGAAAGCCAGUGGACAGUCUGCCUUGAUCCAUUGUCCUGCCUCAGAGGUCAUGGAAAUAUAUGUCAAGACUCAGUCGCUGUCAGCCUGGAUUCCCCAGUGACUACAACACUGCCAACCUCCCUGGGCAUGUAGGGGGAGAGAAAAAUAAGCUUCCAUUGUAUGAAGCUAAGAGAUCCGGAGGGUUAUUUCUUCCUGUAGCACACUCUGACUAAUAGAGUAGCUAGCAGCUAGGAGGUUUUUAAAUAUCUUUAUUUAGCAAAAUGAAAUGGUGCCAAUCUUACGUUGAUAUGAUUUUUUUUUCUUUUGAUAUUUAAUUGCCCCGGGAAGUAUGAUGCCUUGGACAUUCUGACACUGAUAACUGGAGUGUGGGGAGGUGUCCGGUUUAACACGGGUAAUAGUUCUCAGGACAGGGGCCACAAUAUGGGACCCCUCAGCCCCAAUUCAACCAGAGUCACACCUGUUUUAUCUGCAUAAUGAAUAAAUGAACAAGCAUACUGGGGUCUGCACAAGAUUUCACAUCAGGAAAGGGUUUUAUAGCUGAAAAAGAAAAAGUUAAAAGUUGUGCAGCAAAGACUAUGCUAAGCCCUGGGAAUGUGGUAAAGAAUGAGACAGACACAGGCUGCAUAUUGGCUAUGACUUUCAGCUUUGCGGGGCAUGGAGAGGCCGAAAGGGCAGACAAAAGACAAGUCAACUAAUUAAUUAAAUAACUGAAAGUAGAAACACUCUAUGUAGGUAAGAUAUGGGGACUGAAGUAGAGAUUAACAGGAGGUGGCAGGCUGGUAAGAUCUCUUGUCAGAAGGUAGUAUUUUAGUUGCAACCUGGAGGAUGGAAGGGCUACCAGGCAAAAAGGUGUGUAACCUGUUCAAGAGGCUGAAGGCUUGCAUAGCAGGAGGCAGGGCUGAGAAGGAGAGAAGCAGGAAAUAAGUUGGAGGGUCCACAGGAACCUAAUAAGCAGGCCCUCACAAGCCACAAGGAGGUAAGCAAAAGAGAGCAGCAGUGGAUGACGCUGCCUUGCCCAUGUCUACUUAAUAAACACUCAGACUUGAUGCCUUCAAAGCAGAAAUCCUGAUGUCCACUCUCUUGCUCUCCCCGUCUGCCUCUCCUCCUACCUUUCCCAUCUCAUAAAUGGCAGUUUCAUUUUUCAAGUGACUCAGGCCCCAAACCUUGAGAUCCGUAUUUUCCUUGAGGAGAGGUAGGUUGGAUAUGCAAGUCUGGACUGUGGACAGCCUCGAAAGCCAGUUUGGGGCCAGGUGUGGGUGGUGGCUUACGCCUGUAAUCUCAGCUCUUUGGGAAGGUAAGCCAGGAGGAUCACUUGAGCCCAGGAGUUCGAGAGUAGCCUAGGCAAUGUUCCCCUCUAAUUACAAUGAUUACUUUUUAUCUUAGCACUGGGCUGCCUAGAACUGAAUCACAGCUCUGCCACUCGCUAGCUCUGUGGCCUUUGACAAGUCCCU